AGACUGCCCAUUUGUUCAGGCGCCC
rnacentral:misc_RNA from 1 species